rnacentral:rRNA from 1 species
GACGAACGCUGGCGGCGUGCUUAACACAUGCAAGUCGAACGGAAAGUCCCUGCUUUUGUGGGGUGCUCUAGUUGCGAACUGGUGAGUAACACUUGAGUUACCUGCCCUUCACUUUGGGAUAACUUCAUGCAACUUGGUCUAAUACCGGAUAGGAGCUCCUGCUUCUUGGUGGGGGUUGGAUAGUUUCGGUGGUUGGUGAUGGACUCGCGGCUUAUCAGCUUGUUGGUGGGGUAGUGGCUUACCAAGGCUUUGACGGGUAGCAGGGCUGAGAGGGGAACCGGACAAAUUGGGAUGGAGAUGAGGCACGGACUAGUACGGGAGGCAGCGGAGGGGAAUAGUGCACAAUGGGCGGAAGGAUGAUGCAGCAAAGCAGCGUGGGGGAUGACGGCCAUCGGGUUGUAAAGCGAUUUCGCCUGUGACGAAACGUGAGUGACGGUAAUGGGUAAAGAAGCACCGGCUAACUACGUG